AGGAUCAACGCUGGCGGCGUGCCUAAUGCAUGCAAGUCGAACGGGGUACCCUUCGGGGUACUUACGUGGCGGACGGGUGAGGAACACGUGGGCAACCUGCCUGAUGGAGGGGGAUAACCGCUGGAAACAGUGGGUAAUACCGCAUAAUCUUUUCGCACGAGUGGGUGUGGGAAGGAAAGUCGCAAGACGCCGACAGAGGGGCCUGCGUCCGAUUAGCUAGACGGUGGGUAACGGCCUACCGUGGCGAUGAUCGGUAGCUGGUUUGAGAGGAUGAUCAGCCACACGGGGACUGAGACACGGCCCCGACUCCUACGGGAGCAGCAGCAAGGAAUUUCCGACAAUGGGACGAAAGCCUGAACGGAGCAACGCCGCGUAGUGGGAUGACGCUUUUCGGAGUGUAAACCACUGUUCGUGGGAACGAAGUACUGACCGGUACCACGGAGAACGGCCGCAACUACGUGCCAGCGAGCCGAC
rnacentral:rRNA from 1 species